rnacentral:rRNA from 1 species
AAUAAGAUACCCCGGUAGUCCACGCCGUAAACGAUGAGUGCUAAGUGUUAGGGGGUUUCCGCCCCUUAGUGCUGCAGCUAACGCAUUAAGCACUCCGCCUGGGGAGUACGGUCGCAAGACUGAAACUCAAAGGAAUUGACGGGGGGCCCGCACAAGCGGUGGAGCAUGUGGUUUAAUUCGAAGCAACGCGAAGAACCUUACCAGGUCUUGACAUCCCAUUGACCGCUAUGGAGACAUAGCUUUCCCUUCGGGGACAGUGAUGACAGGUGGUGCAUGGUUGUCGUCAGCUCGUGUCGUGAGAUGUUGGGUUAAGUCCCGCAACGAGCGCAACCCUUGUUCUUAGUUGCCAUCAUUUAGUUGGGCACUCUAAGGAGACUGCCGGUGACAAACCGGAGGAAGGUGGGGAUGACGUCAAAUCAUCAUGCCCCUUAUGACCUGGGCUACACACGUGCUACAAUGGACGGUACAAACGGUUGCCAACCCGCGAGGGGAGCUAAUCCGAUAAAACCGUUCUCAGUUCGGAUUGUAGGCUGCAACUCGCCUAC